GAUCCUGGCUCAGGAUGAACGCUAGCUACAGGCUUAACACAUGCAAGUCGAGGGGCAGCAUGGUCUUAGCUUGCUAAGGCUGAUGGCGACCGGCGCACGGGUGAGUAACACGUAUCCAACCUGCCGUCUACUCUUGGCCAGCCUUCUUAAGGAAGAUAAUCCAGGAUGGGAGUCAUGAGUUCACAUGUCGCAUGNUUAAGGUAUUUCCGGUUAGACGAUGGGGAUGCG
rnacentral:rRNA from 1 species